rnacentral:rRNA from 1 species
UACGUAGGAUGCAAGCGUUGUCCGGAAUUAUUGGGCGUAAAGAGCGCGCAGGCGGUAUGACAAGUCAGAUGUGAAAGAGGCCGGCUUAACCGGCAAGGGUCAUUUGAAACUGUCAGACUAGAGUGCAGCAGAGGAUAGUGGAAUUCCCGGUGUAGUGGUGAAAUGCGUAGAUAUCGGGAGGAACACCAGUGGCGAAGGCGACUAUCUGGGCUGCAACUGACGCUGAGGCGCGAAAGCGUGGGGAGCGAACAGG